rnacentral:rRNA from 1 species
AGUGAACGCUGGCGGUAGGCCUAACACAUGCAAGUCGAACGGCAGCACAGUAAGAGCUUGCUCUUACGGGUGGCGAGUGGCGGACGGGUGAGGAAUACAUCGGAAUCUACUUUUUCGUGGGGGAUAACGUAGGGAAACUUACGCUAAUACCGCAUACGACCUACGGGUGAAAGCAGGGGAUCUUCGGACCUUGCGCGAUUGAAUGAGCCGCUGUCGGAUUAGCUAGUUGGCGGGGUAAAGGCCCACCAAGGCGACGAUCCGUAGCUGGUCUGAGAGGAUGAUCAGCCACACUGGAACUGAGACACGGUCCAGACUCCUACGGGAGGCAGCAGUGGGGAAUAUUGGACAAUGGGCGCAAGCCUGAUCCAGCCAUACCGCGUGGGUGAAGAAGGCCUUCGGGUUGUAAAGCCCUUUUGUUGGGAAAGAAAAGCAGCAGGUUAAGACCCCGCUGUUCUGACGGUACCCAAAGAAUAAGCACCGGCUAACUUCGUG